rnacentral:rRNA from 1 species
AAUGGGCGAAAGCCUGACGCAGCGACGCCGCGUGAGGGAUGAAGGGCUUCGGUUCGUAAACCUCUGUCAGAAGGGAAGAAAGGCAUUCGUGCUAAUCAGCGAAUGAUUGACGGUACCUUCAAAGGAAGCACCGGCUAACUCCGUGCCAGCAGCCGCGGUAAUACGGAGGGUGCAAGCGUUAAUCGGAAUCACUGGGCGUAAAGCGCAUGUAGGCUGCUUUAUAAGUCAGCGGUGAAAUCCCACGGCUUACCCGUGGAACUGCCGUUGAUACUGUUUAGCUUGAGUCUGUGAGAGGGUAGUGGAAUUCCAGGUGUAGGGGUGAAAUCCGUAGAGAUCUGGAGGAACAUCAGUGGCGAAGGCGACUACCUGGUGCAGUACUGACGCUGAGAUGCGAAAGCGUGGGGAUCAAA